rnacentral:rRNA from 1 species
GAUGAACGCUGGCGGCGUGCCUAAUACAUGCAAGUCGAGCGAACGGACGAGAAGCUUGCUUCUCUGAUGUUAGCGGCGGACGGGUGAGUAACACGUGGAUAACCUACCUAUAAGACUGGGAUAACUUCGGGAAACCGGAGCUAAUACCGGAUAAUAUUUUGAACCGCAUGGUUCAAAAGUGAAAGACGGUCUUGCUGUCACUUAUAGAUGGAUCCGCGCUGCAUUAGCUAGUUGGUAAGGUAACGGCUUACCAAGGCAACGAUGCAUAGCCGACCUGAGAGGGUGAUCGGCCACACUGGAACUGAGACACGGUCCAGACUCCUACGGGAGGCAGCAGUAGGGAAUCUUCCGCAAUGGGCGAAAGCCUGACGGAGCAACGCCGCGUGAGUGAUGAAGGUCUUCGGAUCGUAAAACUCUGUUAUUAGGGAAGAACAUAUGUGUAAGUAACUGUGCACAUCUUGACGGUACCUAAUCAGAAAGCCACGGCUAACUACGUGCCAGCAGCCGCGGUAAUACGUAGGUGGCAAGCGUUAUCCGGAAUUAUUGGGCGUAAAGCGCGCGUAGGCGGUUUUUUAAGUCUGAUGUGAAAGCCCACGGCUCAACCGUGGAGGGUCAUUGGAAACUGGAAAACUUGAGUGCAGAAGAGGAAAGUGGAAUUCCAUGUGUAGCGGUGAAAUGCGCAGAGAUAUGGAGGAACACCAGUGGCGAAGGCGACUUUCUGGUCUGUAACUGACGCUGAUGUGCGAAAGCGUGGGGAUCAAACAGGAUUAGAUACCCUGGUAGUCCACGCCGUAAACGAUGAGUGCUAAGUGUUAGGGGGUUUCCGCCCCUUAGUGCUGCAGCUAACGCAUUAAGCACUCCGCCUGGGGAGUACGACUGCAAGGUUGAAACUCAAAGGAAUUGACGGGGACCCGCACAAGCGGUGGAGCAUGUGGUUUAAUUCGAAGCAACGCGAAGAACCUUACCAAAUCUUGACAUCCUUUGACAACUCUAGAGAUAGAGCCUUCCCCUUCGGGGGACAAAGUGACAGGUGGUGCAUGGUUGUCGUCAGCUCGUGUCGUGAGAUGUUGGGUUAAGUCCCGCAACGAGCGCAACCCUUAAGCUUAGUUGCCAUCAUUAAGUUGGGCACUCUAAGUUGACUGCCGGUGACAAACCGGAGGAAGGUGGGGAUGACGUCAAAUCAUCAUGCCCCUUAUGAUUUGGGCUACACACGUGCUACAAUGGACAAUACAAAGGGCAGCGAAACCGCGAGGUCAAGCAAAUCCCAUAAAGUUGUUCUCAGUUCGGAUUGUAGUCUGCAACUCGACUACAUGAAGCUGGAAUCGCUAGUAAUCGUAGAUCAGCAUGCUACGGUGAAUACGUUCCCGGGUCU